rnacentral:rRNA from 1 species
AGCCCCGUACACAAAAGCGCACAUGUUGUGAGCUCGAUGAGUAGGGCGGGACACGUGGUAUCCUGUCUGAAUAUGGGGGGACCAUCCUCCAAGGCUAAAUACUCCUGACUGACCGAUAGUGAACCAGUACCGUGAGGGAAAGGCGAAAAGAACCCCGGCGAGGGGAGUGAAACAGAACCUGAAACCGUGUACGUACAAGCAGUGGGAGCCCCACCACUAAGCCAGUGGUGAACUCCACAUACGCAUCCUUUGCGGAAGAUGCGGUUAACGGAGCGAAAGCGACGUUCAACCUCAGAAGAAGCAGAGGGGGCUUAGUGGUGGGGUGACUGCGUACCUUUUGUAUAAUGGGUCAGCGACUUAUAUUCUGUAGCAAGGUUAACCGCAUAGGGGAGCCGAAGGGAAACCGAGUCUUAAC